AUUGAACGCUGGCGGCAGGCCUAACACAUGCAAGUCGAGCGGAUGAAGGGAGCUUGCUCCUGGAUUUAGCGGCGGACGGGUGAGUAAUGCCUAGGAAUCUGCCUGGUAGUGGGGGAUAACGUCCGGAAACGGGCGCUAAUACCGCAUACGUCCUGAGGGAGAAAGUGGGGGAUCUUCGGACCUCACGCUAUCAGAUGAGCCUAGGUCGGAUUAGCUAGUUGGUGGGGUAAAGGCCUACCAAGGCGACGAUCCGUAACUGGUCUGAGAGGAUGAUCAGUCACACUGGAACUGAGACACGGUCCAGACUCCUACGGGAGGCAGCAGUGGGGAAUAUUGGACAAUGGGCGAAAGCCUGAUCCAGCCGUGCCGCGUGUGUGAAGAAGGUCUUCGGAUUGUAAAGCACUUUAAGUUGGGAGGAAGGGCAGUAAGUUAAUACCUUGCUGGUUUGACGUUACCAACAGAAUAAGCACCGGCUAACUUCGUG
rnacentral:rRNA from 1 species